AAGAGGAGGGUGUGAGUAUUACAUCAGGUACUGGUGUCUUUUUUUCAGCGACCAGUACUUGUGUUAUACUUGCGUUCGCUUCUU